UCGACCUCAAAUCAGGUAGGACUACCCGCUGAACUUAAGCAUAUCAAUAAGCGGAGGAAAAGAAACUAACAAGGAUUCCCCUAGUAACUGCGAGUGAAGCGGGAAGAGCUCAAAUUUAAAAUCUGGCGUGCCUCUGGUCGCCCGAGUUGUAGUCUGGAGAAGCGUUUUCCGCGUUGGACCGUGUACAAGUCCCUUGGAAUAGGGCGUCGUA
rnacentral:rRNA from 1 species